ACGAACGCUGGCGGCGUGCUUAACCCAUGCCAGUCGAACGGAAAGGCCCCCAUCUUGGUGGGGGUGCUCGAGUGGCGAACGGGUGAGUAACACGUGGGUGAUCUGCCCUGUACUUCGGGAUAAGCUUGGGAAACUGGGUCUAAUACCGGAUAGGACCAUGGUUUAGUGUCUCAUGGUGGAAAGAUUAUUGUUUUGGUGCAGGAUGAGCUCGCGGCCUAUCAGCUUGUUGGUGGGGUAAUGGCCUACCAAGGCGUCGACGGGUAGCCGGCCUGAGAGGGUGGACGGCCAAAUUGGGACUGAGAUACGGCCCAGACUCCUAAGGGAGGCAGCAGGGGGGAAUAUUGGACAAUGGGCGCAAGGCUGAUGCAGCGACGCCGCGUGGGGGAUGACGGCCUUCGGGUUGUAAACUCCUUUCGUUAGGGACGAAGCCGCACUUUUUUUUGGGUGUGGUGACGGUACCUUUGUUAAGAAGCACCGGCUAACUACGUG
rnacentral:rRNA from 1 species